GGAUCUGUUCAUAACGAAGUUGUUGGGCGAUACAUCAUUUAGUAGACAAGGUUUGUGACAUCUAGGUGCUUUUUUUUUUCUUCUAUAAACAAGAGCACCUAGAUAUCAUAAACCUUGUCUACUAAAUGACAUCUAGGUGCUUGUUGUGCUUACAGUUCU